GUUGACUGAUUUGGGUAUAUAGAGAGAAAUAAAUUAUCUUUUCCUCAGUCUGCAGCAUUGAUCUUGUGUAGUGUUUGGUGAACUUAUUCUGUAAUUGCACAUU